rnacentral:misc_RNA from 1 species
ACACCUCAACCCUCGUGGUUUGCCACGAUCGGUUUGGACUUUGGAGGUUUUGCUGGCCCCCACCUGUGUGGUCGGCUCCUCUCAAAUGAAUCAGCUUACCAGUGUUUGGUGGCGUCGCAGGUGUGAUAACUAUCUACGCUCGCGGCCGUCUGCCAUCCAACCUUCAGCGAUGAGGGUUCGCUGGAGCUCACAGAUGUCUCUCCUGAGUGAAGACAGCUUUUUGAUC